GACAGUGCCGUAAUCAGAUGAUUCGGCUACUGAAUUGAGAACGAUGAAAGAAUGUUAUCGAAUAUCUAUUGGAGGGCAAGUCUGGUGCCAGCAGCCGCGGUAAUUCCAGCUCGAAGAGCGUCUGUUAAUGUUGCUGCGCUUGAAACGCUCGUCGUUGAAUCUCUGGCAAUUGCCUACGGACACUUCUAUUGUGGUACCGUAGGAAAGUGCCUUUUUGUAUCUAUUCGUCGUUGAUUCACUUAAUUGUGUGUCACGUUCGAGAGCCACUUUCACUUUGGAGAAAUCAGUGUGCUCAUAACAGGCUUAUGCCUGCAUAUAACUGCAUGGGAUGAUGAAACUGGGCCUUUGACUCGUUUCGUUGGUUUACGAUUGCAAAGGCCAUGAUUAAUCGGGACAGACGGGGGCAUUCGUAUUGCGUCGAUAGAAGUGAAAUUCGGUGACCGACGUAAGACGAACAAUCGCGAAAGCAUUUGCCAAGAAUGUUUUCAUUAAUCAAGAACGAAAGUUAGAGUAUCGAAGACGAUUAGAUACCGUCCUAGUUCUAACUGUAAACGAUGCCAACCAGGGUUUCGUCAUAGCUUAUAUGCUUGACGAGCACCCUCCGGGAAACCUGAGUAAUCGGGUUCCGGGGGGAGUAUGGUUGCAGAAUCGAAACUUAAAGGAAUUGACGGAAGGGCACACCAGGAGUGGAGCCUGCGGCUUAAUUUGACUCAACGCACGAUAGCCGACUCGGUCCGAACACUUGAAGGAUUGACAGACUGAAAGCUCUUUCUUGAUUUAGUGGGUAGCGGUGCAUGGCCGUUCUUAGUUGGUGGAGA
rnacentral:rRNA from 1 species